GGAUGUGAGGGUAAUCUGGCUGCAAAAUCUGUCAACCCAUUGAUCGCCAGGGUUGAUUGGGCUGAUCUGACUGGCUAGGCAGGUGUGCCAUCCUCCCUCACUGCUCUAUGUGUGUCCCUCCUGAGGCUGUGUGCUCGGUCAAAGAGGAUGACCUUCCCUGAUAGAGGAGGACCGUUCUUCGGUCAAGGGUACAUGAACAGCUGCGAUUCCCCUGCCAGAACCUCCAAACAAGCUCUCAAGAAACAAAAUUUCAGAGAAACUACAUCAUUUGCCCAAGACCCAUAGCAACAAUUACAGCCAGGGCUGGAAUU
ensembl:misc_RNA 7SK 7SK RNA